GGCGGGAUAGCUCAGUUGGCUAGAGCACACGGUUCAUACCCGUGGUGUCGCUGGUUCAAAUCCAGUUCCCGCUACUA
rnacentral:tRNA from 14 species